AUAAAUGUACAGAACGUGCAGGUUUGUUACAUAGAUAUACAUGUGUCAUGGUUUGCUGCAAAAUGUGCAAAAUGGGUGUAGGUUUUGCAGGUAAUUAUUGUAUUAUUAAAAGAUAACAGAAUACCUAGCUAAAAAAAAAUGCGAGGAGGCAUUGAUGGGCACAUGUUUACUGAGCACAUCCUGACUCCAGAAUUAGAAAUCCAAUUUAUGCCUCUGCAGUCCAAUAAAAUUUUUCCUUAAGAAUCCAGAGAUCAGACUUUCAUUUCAGCAAACACUCCAAUAUGGUUUCUCACCUACUCACCCCAACGAAGCUGCUCGUAUCAAAACAUAAGUGCUAUGCAUAUUGUUAAAUUAUAAAUUGAACCAUAACUCCUCGGACUUCAUCUUAAUUUAUAUAUCAGCAGCAUUUCACACAGUUGAUCUCCUCCUCCUCUUUGUAAAAUUUUUUUUAUAGAAUUCCAGAACACUUAACCUACUUUCCCUCCACCAUGUUUUUGAUAAUUACCUCUAGUCCUUUUUUGCAGGUUUCAUCUUUACUAUUUUUUAAAUGUCAGAGGACGAUUAGGCUCACGACUUUGACUUCUUAUCUUUCUUAUCUUUGCUUUCUUACUGAUUUUUGUGUCAUUAAUUUCCUGAUAUUUCACAUUACACUUAAACACUGGACACUACACCCAGCACUCCCUGACUUAUCCACAUGGAUGUCAGUUAGGAAUCUCAAAAUUAAUAUGUCUAUAUGGAGCCACUGAAACUCCCCAAAUUUGCUCUUCCCCAUUCUGUUUAAUGGCAACUCCCAUUUUAUAGUUUCUCAGCUCAAUAUUCUUGGUGUCCCCUUUUAAUUCUGUCUCUGUAGCUCUGUCACUCUCUUUCUGUAUCUGUCUGAUUCUCUCCCUCUCUCUCCUCUCUCUCUUGCUCACUGUCACUCUUGCUCUCUCUCCCUGCUUCACACACACACAAACACACACAGACAGACACACGCACACACACACACACAUUUUCAGAUCUGAUGUGUAUGGAAUUCCUGCCAGCUUUACCUUUAAAGUGUAAUAAUUCCAAAUGUUGUUUCCAAAUUCACAUUCCCACCCCCACCACUUGGUAACUAUAGCACUUCUCUCACAAGGCCAAGUGCAGAGAUUUCUUGGGGAAAUAAUGAGAACUAUUAUACAUUCUUAUUUCAAGGACCCUUAAAAUUAUAGGAUUACUAUAUUUGAUACUAAUUUAAGCUUCUGUCAUUGCCCUUUUUUCAAUCCAGUCUCCACACAGCUACCACAGUGUGCAAGUAGAAGUCUCAGCCAUAUCACCACACUCCUGCUUUAAUGUCCCUACUCCAUUGCUUCUUUUCUUCUUCAGAAGAGUUUAAGCUUAAUGAAGCUGGGCAACGUUACAUAUUAUUCCAUGAGCUGGAGAUCACUUGGUGUAAGGUAAAGGAUCAGUAAAUAUUUUCAAAUAACAGAAUCCACGAAUAAUAGUUUUAUUUCUUUGAGAGUACAUUUACUUUUAAAAAUCAAGGAAAUAGAUUGGUCAAGAGAAUUCUGCUUGUUUUGAUUUUGUUAUCGAUUAGAUUAGAUUAGAUUAACUGUGUUAGUAUAAAUGUCAGUGUGGAAAGCUAUAAGCAUUUCCUAAACUUUAAAAUGAAAAGCGUGGAAUUUAAGUAUCUGCUCCUUUUAUUUGAGCAACCAAAAAACACAACUUUAAAAAUAUAUUUUAAUUAUGUAUGAAAUCUAAAUUAAUUUUUCUCUCUUUAUCCCUAAAUACUUUUUAAAGUUAUUCAUGUCCUCAUUAUUUUUUAAUCCACUUUAGUAACAUUUUAAAAUAUAUUUUCAACUUCAUUAAGAAUAUCUUUGUGUUCCACUGAAUAGCUUGCCAAAUAAUAAAACAUUAGCAGUAUAAUUUCCUCAUAAACAUUAUUUAAUUUGUUUGGUUAACCAUAGAUUUCCUACUCUCAACUCAUAAUUUCAUUCAAGUAUAAUAUAUUCUACUUGACCUUUGCGGGGUUUUCAUACCAUGUAUUUGUCAUUGAAAUUGGUUUUUGAUAUUUGAACCACUAGUUUAUAAUUGUAUUGUUGGUUAGACUGGUCUGUAGAAUCUUUCUUUGUUUUGAUUCUGUGGUUUAUUCAUUACGGAGUAGCUGUGCUACUGUAAAUUUUGAGGUCAAAAGCUUAAAACAUUUUAUGUAUUUUAAAACAAAGUGGAUGGCAUUUAAAUAUCUAUUCCUUAAAAUUUGGAAGAAAGGUUAACACCAUAUAAACCCAGAGCCUGUAUUUUUAGAUUAGUAGCAUGUAGACAUUCUCAAUUUCUUCUAAAGUUGAAAAAAAUAAAUAUUUUGUAUUCAUAGAAUGCUUGAUAACAGGAGGUAAAUAUUUAAUUUUCACUUAAAAGAAAUUUGGUUACACUGAAAGGAAAUUUGGCUAAUAUAAGUUAGAUACAUUUCUAAUUAAAACAAUAAUUUAAGAUAAAUAAUGCUCAAAGAACAGUGGUCACUGCAUUUAUUCCAGAGAGAGGACAUUUAUCCUGAUCUGGCUGUAAUAACGUAGUAGGUAGAACUGCUGGCGUGGACACCCAAGCACGGAUGGGAAGCUGGUGUCUCAAGGGGUCCCGCUGAGAUAGAAAGGGGUCAGGGCCCAGACUGUUGAUGUCACCUGGACCCAACCACCAUGUCUCAGAAGAAGAAAUGACCCUCCCCUCCUGGUGCUGCCCCAAACAAGGAGCUUAGCAGUGUUGCACACAGGAUAGUCCUUGCAGGAGACAUGUUUGACAAGCUGCUGAGGUGCCUGAUGGGGCCAGGCUCUUGUCAUGAAAUGAGUUUGCAUCCUGAGGAAACCUUUUCAUUGGAAACCUGGCAAGGAUCCAAUUUCCCUUUUGCCUUAACCCCAUAGGAGCACAGUAGACAGGGCGGAGGUCACCCAGGUGGCUGUUCCUGCUUGGCCCCCACUUCCCAGACCAUUCCAGGCACGGAGAGCCGCUGAGCUCACUCCAUGGGCUGCCCACAUGGGGUCUGGACCCAGCCGCCCUCCCGUGCCUGGCAGGCAGCCCCUGCGCCAUCACAGGACCCAUUGUGUGGUGAUCAGUGGCCCAUCGCCUGCCCUUGUGGUGGGUGCAGUUCACAGGUGCUGCCCCAGGCCUGGCACAGUGGCCUUCUCAGCCUGUCCCAGGAUAGGGGACAUGAAUGAUCCUUGCCUGUGCCCCUUCGGACUACAGGAAGACAUCUUCUGGGCACUGGAUCAGCUGAUGGCUGAGGAGAGGCACUCCCUGCAGGGUAGGCGGACAGCUAUCCCCAGGGCCUCACACAGCCAGGCCAUGGGAUGGCCACCCUGGCUGGGCGAUCCUGACUUCCAGGCAAGGCAGCUUCCUUGCUUUCCAGCUUGUCAGGAGCCUUCAGGACAUCCCUGCUGAGGGUCCCACAGGAGCCCAGAGCGGAACAGGGACCCUUUCACUUCAAGGCAGGCACCUUUCAUCCCCAACAGCAGAGGGCACUGCAGCCUCCCCCUGGCCACCCGGUGUGUCCCAGAGCCACAGCUUUCUAGCCCUGAGUUCAUGCAGGUGACUGUCACUUCACCAAGAGUCCUCCUACCUCCCAGCUGGCCACACUCCCAGCUGCCGUCCCAGCCCACAGAUGGGCCAAUGCAGUCUAGAUGGCAGUGUCUGCCCAUCCCAUGUCCCCCAGCCCGACCCCAUGUCUGGCAGAUGGCCAUGUAGCCCCUUGGCACCCACCCCAUUCCCUCCACUGGCCACUGCCUGCCGCAGCCCUGCCUCACAGCCUCAAAGGCAGGCCUGCCCUCCUGGCACCUCUACCCAGGAUGCUGCUGUGCAGUGCCUCCAGCUAGGGCCCACCUCCGUAGAGCUGAGGCCACAUGUUAGGGUCACCUGAUGGAAGGGAGGAAGGCCUCAGGGUCUGGGGUCCCCUGCCACUUCCCAGCUCUUCCAGCUGAGGGCUCCACAUCUUGGGAGUGGGCUCUGAUACCUGAUGGGUCAGGGGCUUCUCAGUUUUCUACAGCCCAAAUACUGCCCAGCUCCAGAGGCUCCCAUCCCACCAGGAGCAGGUAUAACACAAAUCCUUCCCAAAGAUCAUGCGGUACCUGCUGAGUGGAUGACACCCUCAACUCUUUCCCAGAGGCCUGGGGUCCCAUGGGGCAGGGAAACAAGGAAAGAUGGAGCUCCUCAAGGGUCUGACAAGAGACUGAGUCCCAGCAAGGGCCUCGCCCAAGGUGAGGAUUCUCCAUGGGUUUGGGGUUGGUUUUUCUUUUCCUGCCCUGGAGGAGGAGGCAGAGGUACUAGGAUGGGGGCUGAGCUCCAGCUGAGCAGGGUUAAAGGAAGUAUGUCCACCAGGCAUCUGUGCAUGGGGGAGUUGUUAGGGAAGCACUGGCCACUGCCCAGUGUUCUGCCCCAGGGCAGCUCAGGGGGCCGUGAGCACCUAUGGUCCAGGAAGGGCCGUGCAUUGAGGUUUGUUGAGUUGGCUCCUCUGGUGUUUCGUUGAUGGGGUAAGGAGGCAAAUGGAGACCCCAGGCCAGGGACCCUCCUGUCCCACAGUGCCCAGCUCCCCCAGGAGGGCCUGGCUCACCCCAAGCCCACAGGGAAGUUUCUGCAUGGCACAGAAGCCAGGCUCUCCCCAAGAGGGGGCAUCACACAGCAGGGGCCAAGCCUCAGGCCCAGUGCUAUUUUCACAUUAUUCAUUUUAUAAGAUGAUAUGGUUUGGCUGUGUUGCCACCCAAAUGUCGUCAUCUUGAACUGUAAUUUCCAUAAGCCUCAUGUGUCAUGGGAGGGACCCAGUGAGAGGUAACUGAAUCAUGGCGGCAGUUUCGCCCAUGCUGUUCUCAUGAUAGUAAGUGAGUUCUCAUGUGAUCUGACGGUUUUAUAAGCAUCUAGCAUUUCCCUUGCUUGAGGUGAUGAAUGCCCCAUUUACCCUGAUGUGAUUAUUACACAUUGCAUGCCUGUGUCAAACUAUCUCAUGUACCCCAUAAAUAUAUACACCUACUAUGUACUCAUAGAAAUUAAAAAUAAAAAUAAAUUUAAAAUUAAAA